ensembl:lncRNA HLA-L major histocompatibility complex, class I, L (pseudogene)
GCACUCAGAUUCUCCCCAAACGCCAAGGAUGGGGGUCAUGGCUCCCCGAACGCUCCUCCUGCUGCUCUUGGGGGCCCUGGCCCUGACCGAGACCUGGGCCGCGACUCCGUGAGUCCGAGGAUGGAGCGGCGGGCGCCGUGGGUGGAGCAGGAGGGGCUGGAGUAUUGGGACCAGGAGACACGGAACGCCAAGGGCCACGCGCAGAUUUACCGAGUGAACCUGCGGACCCUGCUCCGCUAUUACAACCAGAGCGAGGCCGGUAUGAACAGUUCGCCUACGAUGGCAAGGAUUACAUCGCCCUGAACGAGGACCUGCACUCCUGGACCGCCGCGAACACAGCGGCUCAGAUCUCCCAGCACAAGUGGGAAGCGGACAAAUACUCAGAGCAGGUCAGGGCCUACCUGAGGGCAAGUGCAUGGAGUGGCUCCGCAGACACCUGGAGAACGGGAAGGAGACGCUGCAGCACGCGGAUCCCCCAAAGGCACAUGUGACCCAGCACCCCAUCUCUGACCAUGAGGCCACCCUGAGGUGCUGGGCCCUGGGCCUCUACCCUGCGGAGAUCACACUGACCUGGCAGCAGGAUGGGGAGGACCAGACCCAGGACACGGAGCUUGUGGAGACCAGGCCUGCAGGGGACGGAACCUUCCAGAAGUGGGUGGCUGUAGUGGUGCCUUCCGGAGAGGAGCAGAGAUACAUGUGCCAUGUGCAGCAUGAGGGGCUGCCAGAGCCCCUCACCCUGAGAUGGGAGCCGUCUUCUCAGCCCACCAUCCCCAUCGUGGGCAUCGUUGCUGGCCUGUUUCUCCUUGGAGCUGUGGUCACUGGAGCUGUGGUUGCUGCUGCGAUGUGGAGGAAGAAAAGCUCAGGCAGCAAUUGUGCUCAGUACUCUGAUGCAUCUCAUGAUACUUGUAAAGAGGACUAUGCCUGUUCCUGUUCUGGUGUCUGCGUUCUGAUCUCUUUCUCCCCUGGGUGUCCCUCAUCUCUGACAGCAGCAGGAGUCAUUUUUCCUGUCAUUAACCCCACAAGGUGGAAGGCAGCCCCUGCACACAGAAGUCUGUGGUAUUAAGAGAUGAAUUUUCAAGCCCAUGCAGCUUUUACCCUAUUUCCAGGGCUCUUUCUUGGAUUGUAUUUUCUGUCUUUUCCCCAACUUUUUAAAGGAACUAGAUUCUGAAAUUAGCAGAGAAGAGGGACGCCACAAGUUCUCAUCUUAGGUAACUUUCUAGUGGAACUCCUCUUCUGCUCAGCUCUCCUACCCACUCUCCCUUCCCUGAGUUGUAGUAAUCCUAGCACUGGCUCUAAUGCAAACUCAUGGAUCUAUAAAGCAAAGUCUAACUUAGAUUUAUAUUUGUUUGGAAAUUGGGAUUCAUAGUCAAAGAUUGUUCUUUCCUAAGAGGGAAAUAUAAUUGCAUGCUGCAGUGUGCAGAGGGGUUGGUGUGAAGGAGGGAUGCGGGGAGGGAGGGAGGCAGGACACACAAGCAGCACUGCUGGGAAAAGCACAGGCGGCCUGGAUGUCAGUGUGAGGGGACCCUGUGCUGUCGUUGCUGCAAAACCGCAUUUGGCCUGAGGCUAUGUUAAUAAAGAUACUGCCUUUAGAAUAGGAGGUGCUCUACAGUGAUCAUUCAUUCAGCCAACAUUUGCUGUCUGCCAGACAUAUGACAGAAUGUUUUUGCAUCUGGGGAAAGUCAUUGAACUAAAAUCAGAAAAAUCUCUAGCCUUGUGGAGCAUGUGUUCCAGUGGGAAGAGGCAGACGGUACAUACACUCUAAUAUAUGCAGAGUAAAUGAGGAAAGUGUUAGAAGGUGAUAAGUGCUGUGGAACAGGUGAUCAGAGUAUGGGUUGUGGGACAGAGAAGGUAGCUAUUGUGCCGGGGUGGUCAGCGUGGGCCUUGUUGGGAAGGUGACCUUUGAUGAAAUAUUUGAAGGACAUAAAGGAAUUUGUCAUGAGGGUAUCUGGAAGAAGUUUUUUCUAGGGAGUAGGAACCUUCAGUGUCAGUGUACCAGGGCAGGAUCAUGUCUGUGUGUUCUGGGAAGAACACGGGAUCGGGUAUGGCUAGAGCAGAGAGUCACUGAGAUAAGGUCAGGGGUUUGGUCAGAUCAUGUGGGCAUAGGGCUCGAGUAUGUGGGAAGGAUUUUGAUUUUGAAUGAGAUAGUUUUAAGCAGAAUAAAGACAUGCCACAACUUCUCUUUUAAAAGGAUCACUGUAGCUGCUCUGCUGAGAACAGAAUCCAAAGGCCGGCGAUGAGCAAGGCAGGUGGGAAAACUGUAGGAAAUGAGUGCAGUAUUUCAGGCUGGAGAUGUCAGUUACUUCAACUGGGGUGUGAGCAGUGGAAAUAGUGGGACGUGAUUGGAUUCCUACUAUUUCCAAUCACUUUAUACCGCAUUUUCUAAUGGACUAAAUCUGGGGUAUGAGAAGAGUAAAGGAUACCAAAAAUGUCAGACUGUGACUAAAAAGAGUUGCCAUCAGCUGAGAAUGAGAAGACUAGCAGGAGCAUAUGAGAGGAGGGGACGUCGCAGGCAGUCACUAUGGGAGAUGUGGGAUCUGAGAUGCCGCUGAGAAAUACCAGUGAGGUAGUCGGGUUGGCAGUUGGACAGAUGAAUCUGGAGACAUUUAGGAGAAAUAGACUUGGGAGGUGAUGUCAUAUAAAAGUUAUUUAAAGCCUUGAGUCUGAAUGACGUCUCCAAGGGAGUGAUUGGCUGUAGAAGAGAACAGGAACAAGGACUGAACACUAGGCCUCUGUUGCUAAAGGAUCUGAUCAGACAACACACCUAGAUCAGACUGCACAGUCCUGACCCCACAUCUAGAAGGUACAUAAACCAGGGAGUUCUAGACUUUCCUGUGGACAGGAAUCACCUGGACAUCACCUUAAGUCUAAGCUGAUCUGGAAUCGAGAAUGAGAUUUCCUACUUAUAUAAUGUUGCUGUUGGCGCUGAUGCUGCUGGUCUUCAGAUCCCACUUUUGGUAGCAAGAACACAGACCAGGAUUCCUAGGCUAUGCAUCAGCCUCGCCUGUGAGGCUUGUUAAUAAGCAAUUCCUGCACUCCAUGCGCAACAUUCUGACACAGGGGCAUCUGUGGAGAGGCCUGAGUAUUCUACAACAAGCCCACAGCAAACCUGGUGCUCAGCCAGAUUUGAUAUCACUGAGAUCAGUAGUUGGAGAAUGCCCAGGAUGGGGAGGGGUCUCAGACCCACAUUUAAGUGUUGCUUUAUUCUGGGUUUUUUAUUUAUUUAUUUAUUUAUUUAUUUUUAAGGAGGAUGUGUUUCUUUAAUUAUAAGACAGGAUGCUGAGAGAUAAAUGUCAUUUUCUCUAUCAUGGGGUAUAGCCAGAUGGAAGAUUGAGAAGUGGCUCACAGCUCAGCAGAAUGAAAAAAUAUCUGAACGCUGCUUUCUGAAACUACUCUCCAGAAUGAUUUCACACUCACUCAUUGGAGCAAACAAUGACUUGCAAAUUUUUCUAAUUUAAACAUAAAGGAGUGUACAUAUUGGUAUUAGUAUUCAUUUUAUUUUGGGGAAGGGCACUGUAUUAGUCCAUAGUCCGUUUUCACACUGCCGAUAAAGACAUACCCAACAUUGGGAAGAAAAAGAGGUUUAAUUGGACUUACAGUCCCAUUUGGCUGGGGAGGCCUCAGAAUCAUGGUGGGAGGCGAAAGGCACUUCUUACAUGGUGGUGGCAAGAGAAAAUGAGGAAGAAGCAAAUGCCAAAACCCCUGAUAAACACAUUGGAUCUCAGGAGACUUAUUCACUAUCAUGAGAAUAGCAUGGGAAAGACUGGCCCCCAUGAUUCAAUUACCUCCCCCUGGGUCCCUCCCACAACAUGUGGGAAUUCUGGGAGAUACAAUUCAAGUUGAGAUUUGGGUGGGGACACAGCCAAACCACAUUGGACACAGAACCAGGUUUGAAGCUACACAGCCAGGAACAUAAUCCACAGCCACCCUAAUUCAGAUCUCUCAUAGGAACCACUGUCCCUGCUCCUGAGCACAGAUGCUACUGCAUAUACCUCUGAUACCCUGAUGGCCGAUACUGGGCCCUGUGGCAAAGACUGCUAUCACUGCUGCUCCUGAGAACUGCUCCACUACUGCUCCUCAGCCAUCUUUACCAAAAUGCAGUAUUUACUGUCCCAGCCUCUCUGUGUCAUCUCAUCCUGAUUAGAAGCCCACAUGUGGUUAUCUAAAUUGUGCAGCCAAAGCCUCUUGCAGUGUUUAACUGCAAUAAUGUUGGGGAAAGUGAAUUUUUCUCCUUUGUAGAAGGAGGUAGUCCCUGCCUUCUAAUAAGACUCUUCAACAUAGGAAGAGAAUUCAGUUGCUGGAGGUAGAGGGGUGAGGGAUGGAAAAAGAAUGACAAAUUUCAAUUCCUAGAAUCAUGUUCUGAGACUAGAACUUUAUCUAGUACAUUGCAGGCACCUGGGUUUGGUUGAGUGUAUAAUAAAUGACAUAGUUCAACUUAUUCCCUUGACAGUUUGUUUUGGGGUCCAGCUUUUGUCUACCCCAGUUUUCUCACACAGAUACGUGGAGAAGCAUUGUGUGGUGGUAAAAUGAUUACUUGAAAGCCUUUUUCCCUAUCUUUGUCCCUUGCUAGGAUUAAAAACCCAUAUCUGU